AAGGAGACGGGAACUUCUGGGCCCAAGUUGUAAUAGGUUGAAAGAUAGCUUAAAAAAUCCGUUAUUUUUUUCUACUAAAUCAUUUAAAAAAUCAGCUCAAUUCACAAUCUGGAAGAUGAGAAAUGUAAAAAAUAAGAUAAGAUCAAAAAUAAAAUAGGUAAUCGAUAAUUUUAAUCGAUUUGUAUGCAUAUCAAUUUUAUAUAAAAAUAUAGAAGAGGCUAAUGGGGAUAUAAAUAUAGUAACAAUAUUAAAAACUAUUUAGAUCAAUUAAAUUAAUCUACUGUGAAUCAAGAGAUAUAAGUAAUAAAUAGAAAUCUAAAAAUCGAUUCUCAUUUACAAAAUCGUGUCACGAGUUGAUUACGACUCUAUUUUUAUUUAUGUUGACAGUGACAUGACACUGACAGCAGUCCCGGCGACCGGCGUGGCGUAUGCGUUUAAAAAACUUUGUUAAUUGUUUACACGUUUGACUUUGGCUCCUUAGUUUGGAUUUAUUUGCCGGCUUAUCGAUUGGAAAUCGACAUCAUGGAUCUUUGUGUGAACUGUGGCAUAGAAAAGAAAAAGGAAAAAGCAACAACUAGUUGUAAUACCACAGGCAGACGAGUCUUGAAUGACGAAAUGAUUCUCUUAGUGAUUCGUCGAUGGCGUACACCGCAGCCUGUAAACAACAGUGACUAUAUUUGCUAAGCUUGCUGGAACAAACAUCAGCUAUUGAUCAACCAAGACAAUUUGGCCACCGUAAUGUUUGCCUCCGCUGUGGUCGCUCUGUUGCAUCACAAGUCACUCAUCUGCUUCAUACAGGCUCAUCUUGUGAACUGAGAAUUUAUAAUGCCAUAGAAGAAUGUAUUAUGCCUCAAACUAUAAAACAAGGAAGCCACAUCUGCCAUAAUUGUUGGGUGGCUGCAGACAGGGCUGCUGUCCAUAUAGUCUCAGGCCCAUCAACUUCUUCCCGAGUUCUAACUGAGCCUCCUGCUAGCUAGCCUGGAGAAGAUAGAAACAACCAACCAGAACCUACUAUUGUAUUACCAGGAUAUAUGAGAGCUGUUCCUCUUUUUAAAGUAUUAUGUUCCUGAGAAUAAUCGUCUAUGUGAUAUUCAUUUAGUUAUUGAAGGCUGGGAUGUAAUGAUAAUUUAAAUGUUUUUCCCCAGCUAACCCACAGUGAACUAAUUCUCAUACCAUUAGGUAUUUAUCAAAUUGUUUCAAAAAUGUUGUUUGCUUUGUUAAAAAGCAGGCACGUUCAUAUUAUGGAGAGAAUGUAAGGGGUAACGAUGGUUAUUUAAUAGAAGUGUGCAGGGAGGUCAGCAGUAGCCUACUUCGAGAGCUGUCGGCUUCAAAUAGCUCAUGGCUACUUCGGGGAUGCAUACAGUCUAGACAUAUUAGUCGAAAAACUUAUUUUGUUUUAUGUUUUUGUUGACAGCUCUUGCAGAGGUAGAGAAGCAAUAUUGAAUGAUUAUUUCAAUUGCAUUGUAGGCAAAAGGGCUUUAGGCUUCUGCGCACAUGUUAUGUCAAUAAUAUGGUACCUUAGUCGGGCUAGGUACCAAGAAAAUAUAGUACCCCCUGCACAAUUCUUAGAUGAUAUAUUAAUUAUAAUUGAAAAUGAAUAAAAAUCAACUAAAUAAA